CCUCAGGAAGGAGGUGCCUUUUCCCAAAGACCUAGCCUUUGUUGCUCUGCUUUUGGUUUUGUUGCUGUCGUUUUACCAUCCAAAAGCCGAGACAUCGGGUAGACCCCCUACCGCUGUCCAAUACCCAGUCUUGAAAGUGCGUUCCCCACAUCUACAGGUUCCAAACGAAGCCCCGCAGCGGUAUCUUGUUAUCCCUUGCUGCGGCGUCCCUAAGCCUCCUAACGACCUGGGAAGGGGCCGUGACAGUUUUCGAAGCAAAUUUGAGCUUGAAGCGGCUACUGCACGGGCUUUGGGGUGUCAGAUCCCGUACGGGAAAGAAGUGGGUGAAGGGUUCUUGCUACUGAGUGUCGCCACAAGUGCCGCUAGGUGGCACUCAAAGCCCGCGGCAUGGAGAAGCGCGGGCUUUGAAAGGGGCGGGCUGGAGCGACUUUGAAAUCCCAGAGGACCCGGAGCGAGGACACUGCUCACAGAAACAGAAGGACAACGUGCGUACAUCGAGGACUGGGAAGCAGCCUUCGUUCACCAAGGGCUUUCACAGAAGAGGUGAACGGGAGCGAGAGGAAACCGGCACAAACGCUUACCCAGACCAUGGGACCAGGAGGCUGGAACCUCAUCUCUACAACCAAGCGUGCCUUUCUGCGACCUUCAGCCUCUGGACCUACUCUGAGAUUCCCCCUACCGCUGCCAUAGGCUCAUCAGAGAUCUUUAUUUAUAUGCUGGGGCGGGGUGGGUGUGUGGAUGGGUGGGGGUGGAUCUAUUCCUUUCCCGCAGAGGAGGGCAGGGCAGGGUAGGGGCUGCCUAGUUGUGAGUCCCCAAGACUGCUCCCCAGAGCCUGAGCGCUGGCUGCAUAUUUCUAUGUAUAAUCCAAUUUUUUCCGUGACUAUCUAGUUAAACUCUUUAACAACAGCUACAUAAUUAGAAUUUGGAUUCCCAUUAAUUUUCCCUGGGCCUCGAACCAUUUGCAGCUCACACUGGUAAUUAAUGCGAUACAUCACUAACUUUAUCCAGCGUCGGCCAGCCCAACUCAGGUCGCUCGGCCCGCACCCGACGCCCCCGCGAGGAGCCCUGACUCCAGACUCCGCUUCCAGAGUGGGGGCUGAGGGCCUCCCUCCAAAGCCGAAUGCCCGCGCACCCAAAGCCUUCUUUCCAGGAAAUUUCACAAUUAAAAAUAUUUAUCGGGAGCAGA